AUUGAACGCUGGCGGCAGGCCUAACACAUGCAAGUCGAGCGGAUGAAGGGAGCUUGCUCCUGGAUUCAGCGGCGGACGGGUGAGUAAUGCCUAGGAAUCUGCCUGGUAGUGGGGGAUAACGUCCGGAAACGGGCGCUAAUACCGCAUACGUCCUGAGGGAGAAAGUGGGGGAUCUUCGGACCUCACGCUAUCAGAUGAGCCUAGGUCGGAUUAGCUAGUUGGUGUGGUAAAGGCCUACCAAGGCGACGAUCCGUAACUGGUCUGCGAGGAGGAGCAGUCAGAAUGGAAGGUAGACACGGGCCAGAGGCCUACGGGAGGCAGCGGUGGGGAAUGUUGGGAAAUGGGGGAAAGAAUGACGGAGAAAUGCGGCGGGAGGGAGGAAGGUUUUCUUAUCGUAAUACUCUGUUAUUAGGAAAGAACAAAUGUGGAAGGAACUAUGCACGGCUUGACGGUACCUAAUAAGAAAGACACGGCUAACGACGUG
rnacentral:rRNA from 1 species